rnacentral:rRNA from 1 species
AUUGAACGCUGGCGGCAUGCUUUACACAUGCAAGUCGAACGGUAACAGGCCGCAAGGUGCUGACGAGUGGCGAACGGGUGAGUAAUGCAUCGGAACGUGCCCAGUCGUGGGGGAUAACGCAGCGAAAGCUGCGCUAAUACCGCAUACGAUCUAUGGAUGAAAGCGGGGGACCGUAAGGCCUCGCGCGAUUGGAGCGGCCGAUGUCAGAUUAGGUAGUUGGUGGGGUAAAGGCUCACCAAGCCGACGAUCUGUAGCUGGUCUGAGAGGACGACCAGCCACACUGGGACUGAGACACGGCCCAGACUCCUACGGGAGGCAGCAGUGGGGAAUUUUUGGACAAUGGGGGGCAACCCUGAUCCAGCAAUGCCGCGUGCAGGAAGAAGGCCUCGGGUUGUAAAACUGCUUUUUGUACGGAACGAAAACGGCUCUGGUUAAUACCCGGGGCUAAUGACGGUACCGUAAGAAUAAGCACCGGCUAACUACGUGCCAGCAGCCGCGGUAAUACGUAGGGUGCGAGCGUUAAUCGGAAUUACUGGGCGUAGAGCGUGCGCAGGCGGUGCUGUAAGACAGGCGUGAAAUCCCCGGGGCUCAACCUGGGAAUGGCGCUUGUGACUGCAGUGCUGGAGUGCGGCAGAGGGGGAUGGAAUUCCGCGUGUAGCAGUGAAAUGCGUAGAUAUGCGGAGGAACACCGAUGGCGAAGGCAAUCCCCUGGGCCUGCACUGACGCUCAUGCACGAAAAGCGUGGGGGAGCAAAACAGGAUUAGAUACCCUGGUAG